rnacentral:rRNA from 1 species
AGCAGUGGGGAAUAUUGGACAAUGGGCGAAAGCCUGAUCCAGCAAUGCCGCGUGAGUGAUGAAGGCCUUAGGGUUGUAAAGCUCUUUUACCCGGGAUGAUAAUGACAGUACCGGGAGAAUAAGCUCCGGCUAACUCCGUGCCAGCAGCCGCGGUAAUACGGAGGGAGCUAGCGUUGUUCGGAAUUACUGGGCGUAAAGCGCACGUAGGCGGCUUUGUAAGUUAGAGGUGAAAGCCCGGGGCUCAACUCCGGAAUUGCCUUUAAGACUGCAUCGCUUGAAUCAUGGAGAGGUGAGUGGAAUUCCGAGUGUAGAGGUGAAAUUCGUAGAUAUUCGGAAGAACACCAGUGGCGAAGGCGACUCACUGGACAAGUAUUGACGCUGAGGUGCGAAAGCGUGGGGAGCAAACAGGAUUAGAUACCCGUGUAG